GUGGACUUCAGCUCUGCCUUCAACACUAUCAUCCCGUCUCUGCUGCAGGACAAACUCUCCCAGCUGCACGUGCCCGACUCCACCUGCAAGUGGAUCACAGACUUCCUGUCUGACAGGAAGCAGCACGUGAAGCUGGGGAAACAUGUCUCAGCCUCUCGGACCAUCAGCACCGGUUCCCCCCAAGGCUGCAUUCUCUCCCCUCUGCUCUUCUCCCUGUACACCAACAGCUGCACCUCCAGCCACCAGUCCGUCAAGCUCCUGAAGUUUGCGGAUGACACCACCCUCAUUGGACUAAUCUCUGGUGGGGACGAGUCCGCAUACAGCGUAGCAGCAGCAGCAAGCCAGAGGAACCAGAGGCCAUGUUGGACCUGAUUCUUGAGAGUCAGGGUCAGAGACUGGAGGACCAGAGAGCCAGCUUCAACCUGUUACCUGACCCAGGGUCAGCCUCUCUCUGUGGAGCCUGCAGCCCCCCCUUAACUUCACCCAGUGUGGGCUUCUACUACAUGCUAAUACACUACCAGCCCGCCGCGUGUUUCUGCGUCUUUACGUCGUGCCGACGCACUGGUUUCACUUCCUGGUUCUAAAGUCUUGCGUGUGUUGCAGAGCGAUUCACCUCCAGAACAACAGUCUAACAGGAUGGAGGACCAGAGGUGUUCCCUUCCAGAUCUGGAUGAAGCUGCUGGUGAAGGUCAGCAGGACUUCUUUGGGUUGAUUCAGAGAGUUCAGUCCAGGAGGAUGGACGAACAGAGAGCCUCUCUGCUGCCGACACAUACUGACGACGACCAUGACGUCAUUAACGCAGGCCCCUCCCCCAAUCCCCCAAAUCAUCAGUGAUGAGUACCAGAGUCUUAUAGGGUUCUUCAGAACCACUCUUCUAGAGCUCCACAAAGACUAGAAUUAUCCUGAUGUUAAGACGGUUGGGACGGAUCCAGGUUCAGGUCUUUAGGAUCCAGAUGUGUUGACGACUGAUAUUAGAUUACAGACCAGAUGAAUGUGCUUCUCUGAGUAGUUAGUGGUUGGUAGAGCUGGUUAUUAGAGCUGUGGAUGAAUGUUUCUCUUUGUUAACAAAAGAGGUAAAGAAGAAGAAUGUUAUCUGAUAAAUAUGGACGUAACAAAACAAUCUAAGAUAUUUAAUGAUCAUCUUUACUAAUACAUAAGGAAACUUGUUUAAACUGGUUUGUUUUAUUAUGGGAAUGAUGGGAACAUAGUCCUUCAAAAAAACUUUUAAGAUUUAUCUCAGUUUUCCCUUUUUAGGAAUUCAGACAUAGGAUUCAGGUACAGACCAGGACCAAGUCCUGAACUGGCCCCAAAUCUAAUCAAAGUUCCUGAACCAAGUCCAGACCAGGUCUUGGCCCUGUGUUCUCAACCUAAAACUUCUGUCCUGUAAAGUCAAUAAAUCACAGUUGGAAAUUUUAAACUGUAAGACUCAUUGUAG
ensembl:lncRNA